GUUCUUUCCUGUGCUGAGAUUACUAAGAGACUGGGUCUCACUCUGUUGCCCAAGCUGGAGUGCAGUGGCAUAGUCAUAGCUCACUGCAGCCUUCAACUUCUGGGCUCAAGUGAUUCUCCCAUCUCAGCCUGCCAAGUAGCUGGGACAACAGGUGAAAUUGAAGGCCAGCUUUUGGAACUCAGCCUUCAAAAGAACUUAAAAUUUCCAUUAUGUAGAGUCCUUGAGGAAACUGGAUCCACUAGCUACACUGGCUGAGAAUGCCCUCACCCCAGGAUUUCAUUUUUAUUUGACCACAUCAUUGUUGGUAUCUUAAGAUCAAUGUACUGGAGCAGUGAGGUCUCACAAAGAGGAUAACUGUUGACACACCCAGGCUUUCAGAAUGCACUGUGGGGCUUUAGUGACUUGUCCAGGUUCAGCUGAAAUGUGUCAUCUGGGACCUACUAAUGUUUGUUGAACUUUACUGGAUUUCAGAAGCUGGGUCUCAGAAGCUCAGAUGUUCCUUGGAGCUACGAUAUCAACAGCCUGUGAUGACGGAGAGAAGGUUGCUCCAUGAUGGAUUUGGAAACUUACUGGCUAGCUAAACCUGACUGAAUGGGAAGGAAUGUGGAUAGCUUUGGAACUCUAGUUUCACUAGAUGAGCUGGAAUUUGUAUUUUGACAAAUUGCACGUUAUGAUUAUUAAGUAAUGCAACUGAUUUUUUUUCCCUUAAAACAAACAAUCUAGAAUCUGUGUAAUCAAAAUAAUUUCUCUAAAAGGCUGCAAGUAUAUGCUUAAAAUUUUGGGGCAUUCAGAGCAUUUGGAACAUUACAUUCUUUUGAAUGUCAAUUGGUAGAUGAAAAUACCAGCUUUUAAGUCAUACAUUUGAUUUUUUGAAACAUUAAUAUGCAUUUAGAGUUUGUAAGUCAAGUGAGUAAUUGAUAAGGCAAAAAAAGGGGGAGUUCAUUGUUGAGUAUGAAUUUAAAGUAACCAGACUUCCUUUUUUCCAGUGGCUCUCAGUAAUUUACUUCAGCAGGCAUUUUUUUUUUUUGAGGAUGUUCUAUGAUAUGAUGACCCUUCUUGUAGGAAUGUGCUUCCAGUGGUGAGGCAGUCUGAGAAUGUGGGAAGCAGUAUAAUGAAGCCAGACCAAGAUUGAAGCUUGGCGUGGGAUUUGAGCAUGAGGAAAACUGUUGAAGGGUUAUGUAUACAUCUCACACACACACACACACACACACACACACACACACACUCUCUCUCUCUCUCUUCCGUACUCCCACAACAAUGUAUAGUAUUUACUAUACCUGGUGACAGAUAAUUACUAUACAUUGUCGAAGAUCUAUAACAUGGAAUGCCUAGUGCUAAGUGCAGUGUCCUUAGUGAAAUUAUAUUGGUUUGGAAUUAUUUAUGAGUUUGGGAUUAUUUGUCACUACGCUUAAAUGAUCGCGACACUCACCUAUUUGAAAAGAUAUUGAGGAUUUGCCAUUUGAUAUUGACCAGGGUGUAUUGUGCACAAAUAUUGUGAAUAUACAUCUCUCUGUCCUUAAAUCACUGUAAGUUUUAACUGGAAUAGAUUUGCUCCACAAUACUCAGUAGGGCUGAUAUUUCAUGCCUCAUGGAUGAGAAAAGAAUUGGCAAAAAUUAUAUCUCGGGCUGCCUCACACAUCUUUUAACAGGAUAAGGGAAAAAUAAAUAUAAGACCUAUGAGUUAUGGCAUCAGGCUUGAACUUUAAUUUAUGAAUUAAACCAAAAAUAUUAUUGAUUAUUGCAAUUAUCUAUGUUAAUUUCAUUUGUUCUCCUUUUAAAAAUUAUGUUUAUUUUACCUAUUGUGAAUAAAGUCACUCCUCCCAUGUGCUUAUUUCUUGACUCUGGCACUAAUUAUUCUUCAUUGCCUGGAUUUCCUGGGACUGCUCAGUUUAAGUAACUCCUGAACAUUGAACUCUGAGAGGAAAGACAGUAAAGUGGAAUCUGUGGAAAAACACAUCUGCAAAUGUCUCAUUUUUUUCUUCAGGGGUAAGUUUUCUUCCUUGGAGACUCUUGUCUUGAAAAAGUGAUGCUAGAUCACCAUUUAGCAAGAUAAUUACAAAAGGCAAAUAGAGUAUUUUACAUAGCUGUUAUAGGGUGACUAAGAACUCAGGGAAUGACUGUGUUCUGUAAUCCACUUGCCCCACUCAAUACCCCGAGUUUUAUACAAGCCAAAGAUGCUUGGAGCAGAAUAUGCUACCUGAGGCUCCAGGGCCUUGGCCUAGGGAAACUAAUACUUAGCCUUUUAAGUGGUCAUUGAUGACAUCCCACUCCUUUCUGAGAUGGGUAUGGUUUGAAAGGCAGGUACAUUCAUGGAGAGCAGGGCUUGGGAUCUUUGCUGCAAGCGGAGGAACUAUUAGCCUAGACUUUUCUAAGAGGGACUUUCUCAUACCUGUUUCCUAGAUCUGGUCCACAUAGAAGAAAUCAGGGAACACACAGGGCAGGACUCUUAAAGGAGUAUGUUUCUUGGCUUUUUCCUAAAAACUAAAACAAAAACAUUCAUAGCAAAGCAGUUUAGCCCAGUGACUAAGAGUAUAGACAUUGGAAUCUGACAGAUCUCGGUUGGAAUACUGCUUCAGCCAUUUACUAAUUAUGUAACUUCACAUCUCUGAGAAUGGGGGAAAUUUUAUUUGCAGGGUUGUUACAAAGCUUAAAAGAGUUAAGUUAAGUGCCUGGAACAGAACAGCCAUUCAAUAAAUGGUAGAAAUUUUUGUUUUUACACAAAUUUUUAAAAAGUAAUAUUUUUGCAUUUGUUAGAAAGACUAUAUUUUCUGUUUAGUGAAUAACAUCAUCAUCAUAAAAAUCACUGUUACAAGUUUUGUUUUGAGAAUUAAAAUCAUAUAUUAAUCCCAA
rnacentral:antisense_RNA from 1 species